rnacentral:rRNA from 1 species
GGCGAACGCUGGCGGCAGGCUUAACACAUGCAAGUCGAGCGGGCAUCCUUGUGGUGUCAGCGGCAGACGGGUGAGUAACGCGUGGGAACGUGCCCUUCGGUUCGGAAUAACUCAGGGAAACUUGAGCUAAUACCGAAUACGCCCUUUUGGGGAAAGGUUUACUGCCGAAGGAUCGGCCCGCGUCUGAUUAGCUAGUUGGUGAGGUUACGGCUCACCAAGGCGACGAUCAGUAGCUGGUCUGAGAGGAUGAUCAGCCACACUGGGACUGAGACACGGCCCAGACUCCUACGGGAGGCAGCAGUGGGGAAUAUUGGACAAUGGGGGCAACCCUGAUCCAGCCAUGCCGCGUGAGUGAUAACAGCCUUAGGGUUGUAAAGCUCUUUUCUCCGGGACGAUAAUGACGGUACCGGAGGAAUAAGCCCCGGCUAACUUCGUG